rnacentral:lncRNA from 1 species
AUCCACAAUAUGAUGAAUGGUUAAACAAGCCUCAAUCUCCAGAUGAGUAUGAAUGGAGUUUACACCUUGAUCUUACAAUUUGAAAUUCCUCUUACAAUAGUGAAGGUGGAAUGAAUAUGGAGAUGGAAUAACAAAACAAGAAGGAUCCCCCGGUGGUUCUCUCGAUCUCUUCUCUCUGUUCUAGAUGGUGUGGCUGCGGCUAGGUUUAUCCAAUAUGUCCCAUCCGUAUGUGUUUUUCCUCCCAAACAAUGGAAAAUGGGUUUUCUUAUCUCUCGAAGGAUUAACGUUAGAAAUUACCUAGAAAUAAACCUCGUGAAAACCAAUUGAAAACUCCUUGUAAAUAAUCAUAAAUUCUCGAGCCAUCAACUCCCACGAGCUUAAGACUUGCUCUCCCUCAAGCAACAAAGAAAUGUAAUGAACCAAAGGGAGUUUGAUAAUUGAGUUGAAAGAAGUUUACCACCUGUAAUAUAUCCAUUCUCACAAAUCAUGCAACCUUAGUUAAGAAAAUACUUGCAUUUGAAUGGUUGCACAGAACUCACUACCUAGCCACGUAUAAUCACACACCAAUAGUCAUAAUUUCUCAAGUUAAAGCUUCGAUAGUUAACUAAGUGCUAGGAAAGAAAAAACUUGUUCUUCUUUUAAGAAAAUGAUUAUUUUUUUCUUUGAAGUUUCCCUGAAAACAAAUUUAACUAUGGAGUUUUGGAAGAAGAAAACAUAGUACUCAAGCAUUUAAUUAACAUCCAUAAUUACCAACAAGGCAUGACUCUCAAAUACUUCCUAAUAAUUGUUAUUCAUUGGAACUUCAAUCUUUAGUGAUGGGGUUAUGCCAAGGUUGCUAGGUGCAAGAGGGUUUCCAUUUUGGUUUAAUUUUGGGCACUAUAUAUGAAAAGGAUUCUCUCUUUUGAGCUCAGUGGUCAGUGUUCUCAUUUACCACAUACACACCUCUUCGGAGAAGGACGAUCAAGUUCAAUUCAAACCCCAAAUUAGUGAUGGAGUCACAUUUAUGCGUGUUAUCACAACAUAUAGCAACAACUAUAUGAAACCAGUGAGAACUGAAUCUCCAUGAUUUUAGUAGUGUGGGCAUGUUUUCGCAUAACCUCGAUCAGCUCAAAUAUUCAUUCCUCUAAACAACACUAUGAAUAGGUAUCAUCGAGGCAAACAAAUUUAGUGUUAUGGCGUUGAACUACCUAAGUGGUAAUUCCCCUAAAAAAUCCAAGCCCAUUUGUUUAUGUUAGAAAUUUCUUUUAUUUUUAUUAUGGAUCAAAAUCCUGCUUUAAAAGAGGGUUUAACUAAAGAUUCAAAACAGGGAGUUGUGACUAAAUGAUAUUCAACUAUCAUGGGGAACAAAGCUUCAGCGGAGUUGUGACUAAAUGAUAUUCAACUAUCAUGGGGAACAAAGCUUCAGUGGAACGAGCCAAAUAAAACCAUUCAGUUAAUUAAGCUUGCACGAAAAGUGAGUAUGACUAUAUUAUACCUUCUUGCGCUUGUUCUCCGUUUCCUCAAGUCACUUCUCUACUUUGUUCUCUUUAUUUCUAACUUGCUAGCGGUGAUCAAACACUAUGAAAAGACACAUUUGUGACAUUAUGGCCUGAACAAAAAAAUCUAUCAUGGAUGUGACACUUUGAUAAUCCCCAAGUGUAAGGAAUCAUCAUAGAAAUUUCCAAAGAUAGAAGUGGUAAGUAUGGAGUGUCGAACCCACAAGGAGAUAAAGGUAAGAUCAUUAUUCUCUCAAGUCCUAUCUGCCACCAAUACAACUCUACAUACACCAAACAUUUGCUUCUAUGUAGUAACGAGAAACAAAAGCGUGUUGUGGAUAUAGAGAGGAUAGGUUUGCAUGAUAUUGGAGAAAAAAAUAUGAGAAUAUUCACUGCAUAAAUAAAGUUAGAAAAUAUUACAAUAUAUUAUAAAUAGCAAGUGUGGAAUGAUUAUGGUAUGGUGUGCGAAAUCAUCCUAAGCAAUUGAUAACAAGAUCGGUCAUCAUUCUUACAAUUUUAGAUGAGGGAGAGGCAUGAACUAACAUACUUAACGUACUUGGAUCAUGUGAACUUAUGAUUGGAUCUCUAGCAAGCAUAUGCAACUACUAGAAAUCAUUAAGAUAAACCCAACCAUGACAUUAAACAUCAAGUCCCCUUUACUCCCAUACGCAAACAACUCCCUUACUCGGGUGUAAGCUUCUAUCACUCUAGGCAACCACUAUAAAUGAAUCAUGAACAUAUUAAAACACCCUCUAGCAUGAAUCCUUCACGUGUGCGCCUCACGGAAUGCACCUUAGGACAACACCAAAAUAAAACAUACACUCAAACCAAUAAAGAUCAUCCAUCAACCCAAAGGACAACAUAGAUCUACUCAAACAUCAUAAGAUGACAACACAUAAUUGAUUAAUAAUAUGUCGCAUGAGACACCAUGUUCAAGUAGGGCAUUACAGCGGUGUGCGGGAGAGUGGACCGCCAUAGAUAGAUGAGGAAAGGUAAUGAAGACGGUGAUGUUGAUGAAGACAAUCACGACGGUGAUGGUUCCCAUGCCAGCACUCCGGCACCGUCGGAAGACAUGGGGAGAGAGUCUUCCCCCUUAUGCACCCUCCUCCAUGGCCUCUCCCUAAAUGGGGAGAGGUUCUCCCCUCUGGUCCUUGGCUGUCGUGCCUCCCAGAGGGGCGAGAGCCCCUCCGAGAUUGGAUCUAUCUCUCUCCGUUUCUCUCGUGUUUUUGCCACUAUUUUGUCGCCCUUCAUAAUUUCUUAAAUAUCCAAAGAUCCAUAACUCCGAUCGGGCUGAAAUUUUAAGGGGAUUUUUAUCAAAAAAAAUAUCUUCCUUGAGGCGAAAGAAGGGCGACAACCGAAUUAAGGAGUGUACCCAAGGCAUUAGGGCACGACCACCCCCUGAUCGCGCCCUGAUUCCUUGGGAGAGCCUCGGGCAUCGUGUGGCAUUGAUUGUUCUUUCCAAAAUUCACAUAUAUUCCAAAAAAAACCGUAAAUUUUUGUUGUGGUUGGACUCUGUUUAAUUUGGAAUUUCUACGAAACAAAACACACACAAAUAAAUAGAAACUUGCAUUGGGCACUGGAUAAGUAAGCUAGUCCCAAUAAUAAUAUAAAAUAUUCUCAAAAGUAUAUGAAAGUUGUAGAACAUUCGCAUGAAUACUUCAUAAAUUAUUGAUAUGGUGGCGACGUAUCAACAUCCCUAAUCUUAAUUCCUGCUCGUCCUCGAGUAGGUAAAUGAUAAAAUAAAUAAUUUAUGAAGUGUGAAUGCUAGCAUUUUAUAUAAGUUUGAUCAAUGUUACUACCAAUCACUUUUUCUAGCAUCAUAAAACAAAAACUCUUUUUUCAUAGAAAUUCUCAUGAUCAAGUAACAAGUUAUUGGCAGGUUUAAGUAUAGACCAUAAACUUUCUUAAAAAUUAGCAAAUUAUGUUUCUCACUCAUCAAACAAUUACAAAUCUUAUUAUUUUCACGAAGGGUCUAUGUAAGAGCUUUGAUUUAGUAAAUUCCACAUACUCAACUAUCAUUUAGUCUUCCAUGAUUGCUCACACUCAAGGCAUAUUUUAGAACAAGCGGUUUCACUCAAACACAUAGGAAUAUAGUGGCUUAAUGUUCCACCUUCCAACUUAUUUAUCUCAGGGAUAAUGUCAACAAUAAUGAAUCAUGAUCACCUAUAUCCAACUGGAUAUAUGUGCCUGGAUCUUCCCCACCACAUGAUGCUUGCCAACUAAUAAAUUGAGGUUGGUAUAAUAAGUUGAAUCAACAAGAAAAAUAAGUAACAUGAAAGUAAAUAGAUUGUCCCUCCGCAGACGGAAGCAUGAAUUUGUAGAGGUGCCAAAGCUCAUUGUUUUAAAACAGAGAUGAGUAUGCAAUUUUGGGUGGUGUGCCUUUCAUGUCAACGUCACAGUAGAGUUUCCAAUAUCUUCCAUGCUAAUCAAAUUGUUGAUGAUUCCCAAAUAGAAUUGAAUUUUUAACCCCACUGAACCAUUCAAUCAUAUUCCAUGGCUAGCCAUAUCUACGGGUGCCCUCCAAACAAUAAACUUUCUAGGGGAGUUCUUGUUUAUUUAAUUUUUUUAUUAUGCAGGACUAGGCAUCUUUUACCAGCCUCUCUCGUGCAAUGACAAGUGAAUAAAUACUCAUCAUGAGAAUAACUCGCUUAGCAUGAAAGAUAAUGACCACCCAGUCGCUCCAUGAGCGGUACGAGCACACAAAACUAAUGUUUAUUUGAAGGUUUUAGAGGUGGCACAUGAAAAUUUACUUGGAAUGGCAGUCAAAUACCAUAUAUAGGUAUGUAUGGUAGACUAUUAUGGAAGAAACUUGGCUCAAGGGUUUGGAUGCACAAGUAGUAUCUCUACUUAGUAUGAAUUUUUAAGCUAGAAAAAGAUCUAUUGAAAGCACCACAUGUUAGAGGAUCCAUGACAAUAUAAAUUCUAUGUGAAUAUAAACGAACAUAACCAUUACGUUGUUUUCCUUGUCCAAUGUCAACAACUUUAUCAAGUUUGCAAAUAAUUAAUGGGGGCUCACAAUCAUAGAAGAUGUCUAAAUAGUAUAUUUAUAUGUGACAUAUAUAAUUGAAGCACACAAAGCAUUCUAUGAAGUCAUACUUAAAAGAUUUAAGUGAAGCGCAUAAAGCAUUCUAUAAAUCAAACAAAUACUAUCUCAUAAUAGCAUUGUGCAUAAAAUAAAAGGGAAUAGUAAACACAAAAUUUGCUCCAAUAAAAUCACAUGUGAACGAAUGAAAACUUAGGAUCAACAUUAGCUAACCGAUAAUUAUUGACGGAGAGAGGUGGGAUGCAUAUCAUCCCCAAGGUUAGAUGCUUGAAACUUCUUGUAAUAUUUACUUAGGUGCCUUGAGCAUCCUCAAGCAUGAUUUUUUGUAUCUCGUUCAAUCUUCUUAUAUCCUAGUUUUACCUAAGUCUCAAAAGCUUCAUCCACACAAUACUUAUAAGAACUCAUGAGAUAUGUUAGUACACAUUAGAAUACAUCUACACUUCAUGUACUGCCAAGACAAGUUUCAUAAUAGUUUUCAAACAUUAGUCCUAUAAUUUCCAUAAUUUAUAUCUACCAAUAUAUGCCAUGAAAACUCUAGGAUGAGUAGAUAACAAAACUAUGAUAGGAAUCAGUCCAAACAGAACAGUAUGUAGCAAUUCAUUUAAACAUUGUAAUUUUAUAUCUACGAAAAUUAUGAAAAUUUAGGAAAAGUUGAAUAAUUAGUAUGACAGUACUGUGUAAAAAUUUCAAAAACUUACAACGUUCCAGUAAAAUAUCAUAAUUAAAAUACUACAACAAAAAAAUAUGUUUUUAUACAUCACACCUCACACAUGCAAUUGAAGCGUUCUAAAGGCAAUUUUUGUAAUUUUUUUAUUGAAAAACAAGAUUAUAAAUAACAUCAAGCAAAUACUAAAACAAUAAAAUGAUACUCUAAGCAAAACACGUACUUUAUGACGAAUAAAAAUCUAUAGCUUCAAGUAAGAUAUAUAUCAAUAGUGUUGAAGACAAAAGAGGGGAUGCCUUCAGGGGCAUCUCCAAGCUUAGACGCUUGAGUAUUCCUUGUAUAUUACCUUGGGGUGCCUUGGAAAUCCCCAAGCUUAUAGUCUUGGCGAUCCUUAUUAUCCUCAUAAUGGUAUCUCACCCAAAACUUAAAAACUUAAAUCACACAAAACUUAACACAAACCUCAUGAGAUCCGUUAGUAUAAUAGGACAUUCAUAAACUUUAGUUACUCUUAUAAAUUGAUUCAUAUUUAAUUAUUGAAUAAUUUAUUGUACACUAACUUAUCCAUGGCUUAUACCCCACGACACAAUCAAUAGCAUCAUCAAAACAAGCAAACUACGUAAGCAAAAUACAGAAUAUGUCUAAAACAGAACAGUUCGUAACGAUCAGCAUAAAUACCAAACUUCUGUAACUCAUCAAAUUCUGAAAUAAUUAGGAAGACCUGCGGAAUUUGUAUACUAAUGUUGUGUAAAUACUUUAGAUCAAAAAGGCAUUCCAGUAAAAUCACAGAAAUUCUGCACUAGACAUCACUAGACAUCAAAGUUUUUGUUUUUGCCCUAUAUCAAUUCUAUUUAUCAUGCAAAUCAUCCUAAAGGAUUUACUUGGCACAUUGUCGAAAUAAGAGACAUAAAACAUGACUAAUACAGUAGCUUAAGCAUGAGGGCACACAAUAACAGAAAUGCUAAGUGUUGGGUUGUCUCCGAACGAGCGCUUUUCUUUAAAGCCUUUUAAUAGGCAUGAUAAUUUCAAUGAUGCACACAUAAGGAUAGUUGAUUAAACAUGCAAAAUAGCAUCAUGAAAAUUAUGACAAGCAAAUUUUUUUAUUGUACAGUGGUAUACACGAGGGGAUAAUUAUUUUUGUGACAAACUUCCAUGAAAAAUUCUACAUUGUUUCCAUGAGCAUCGACACAAGUAUUCAAGGUCAAAUCUCACUUCCUCAAUACAUAACUUUCCAAUUGCUUCUCAUUUAAAAGGCAAUUAAAAAAUGUGUGUUUAGUUUUUCAAUUUUUUUGUUUCACCCACAACUAAAGAAAGAAAACAAGAAAAUAGAAACAUAACAAAAACAAAAUCUACUUAAUGAUAGAAGCAAACAAACAUACACGAAAAUAUUAACCCCACGCUAUUGCUCCCCGGCAACGGUGCCACAAAAGAGCUUGAUAAUCCCCAAGCACUAUAGAAAUUAGCUUCUUUGCCGUCUGCUAUGGGCAAAGGGGUGUUCCACGGUCGGCAAAGGCCUUUGCCGUCAGCCUCCUGUCGGCAAAAAUUAUAUGACUACUUUCGACGACAAAGGCCCUUCUUUGCCAUGUGUCAUCAGUUAAGGGUGCAUGUGGUUCAUUCCGAGUGGUACGAAAAUGUUAAUUUGCGCUUUCCAUAUAAGCAUCCAUGAGUACUAGCAGAAUGAGUCAUAAUGAAGUUAUAGUGCAAAUGUUGUCUAAACAAACAAGACAAUGAUCUAGCAUAAUCAACGCGUCUAAGAAAAUAAAGUGUUGUUCGUGGUGGGUGGUAGGUACAUUCUCAUCAUUCUGAAGUAGCGCACACUUAAUCUGCAACAAACUGAAGAGAGGAAGAAACGCUAUGACUACUUCCUCUCAACUAAAAUGGUCCGAUUACCAACAUAAACAUCAUAUGUGACUUAAUAAUUUAAAUUGUGACCACUAAGCUCAUAUUUUGAAAAUACUCCGAAUUUAAAAUUUAAGCAUUAACUUCAAAUUAUAAGCAUUAACUUUCUGAACAGAGUAUAGCUUUAGUGGCCUAAGAAUUUAAAUUUUAAGCAUUAACUUCAAAUUAUUAAAAUAAGUGAGGUCAGUAUAGGUUAAUGCUAUAAAAACCUUGAUGUUUGCUAAAUGAACAUGAUUCCAAUGUAGCAAUAAUAUUUGCAUAUGUUUAAAAAAAAGAUGAUCAGAUAAGCAGAAAAUGUAAUUAGACAUUGUGUGAGGACAUAUUUAAAAAAUGAACACUAAAAUAGAAAAUAGUUUCAAGCAAAAUAAGAAGUCUAACAUAAAGUACAAAAUUAAGACACACCUAAGCCGAAGCUCCUUGAUGGCGUCGAGCUCCUUGAUUUUCGAGGGUGUCGUAGCUCACCAUGUGUGUUGUUCCAACCUUUUUUGGAGUAACAUAAGACAAGGAGAAAUAUUGGACUUGCUUGAAGGUUGCAGCAAGCUGGAAUGAAUUCUAACUUCUUCACUUGAUGCAUCAUAUGUAGCUUAGCUUCGGUGUCUGAAAAAAUGACUUAAAAAUACGGAUAAUCUGGCAUUCGAAGAGGAAAGAUAUAUAACCUAGAAUGAAUUCUAACUUCUUCACUUGAUGCAUCAUAUGUAGCUUAGCUUCGGUAUGUGAAAAAAUGACUUAAAAAUACGGAUAAUCUGGCAUUGGAAGAGGAAAGAUAUAUAACCUAAUAUCUUUCGGCAUUUGCAUAUAAAGGUCGAGGUAUCACCUGCAGAAACUGCAACAUAUCAAUCACUAAAAAAACUCAAACAGAAAUCUGUUGUGAGUAACUGGAAAUCAUAAAAAAUAUCAAUAGUCCCAACAUAUAUAACCAGUGAACGGAAAGCAUAGUGUAAAAUCAUAAUAUUAGGUAGGUCCUUUGCUGAGCACAUAGUAAAAAAAAGGAGAUCAAAAAAUUUAAAGGCCUUAGUAGAAUUUAAAGGUUGCACAAUUCUUGUGAAAUUAUGAAAGUAAUUUAUCAAUAAUCCAUAUUUGGUUUCCCGUUGCACCUUGUUAGACCAGGGACCAUAUAUGUCCGAGUCCAACAUUAUUCCAAAUGUUGUUUCCGACUAGCUUUAACUUUCUCUCAUCUACUACAACUUAUCCAUUGUAGGCCAGGAGUAUAAGUAUGAGCACAAAUAUGAAUUAAAAAACAUUUCUUAUGCAUAGAGUAAUGCACCAGAAUCCAGAACAUAAAUAAUAAACAAUUAAUCGUAAAUAGAUAAUUGAGUCAGGAUCACAAUUUAAUUCUUUAUUUUGAAAAUUUUAUCUGCUUGUGUUGAAUUGAUCACAAGGCUGGAACUGCAGGAGAGGGAAUUACAGGGAUAAAACUUGAAGAUGAAUCAGCCUCCUCCACGAUGACUUUCACCAAGUAGGAGGAGAUCCCCGUCUCCGAGGGCCAUACAGGCGAAACACCCUCCACUCCAUGGUUUUCCUUACCUGCAAUUUUUCCGCCACUGAUCAAUGAGCAUUAUCAACACGCAAAAACUCUUUUCAAUUGACGUGAAAUUAAAGCUUCUAGACUCUAGAUCUACCUCACAUGUGAAGAAUUGUGGCUUCUUAAUGGGGGCAUGCGUGUCUCCAAUGUCGUUUGCUUGGCGCCAUCAGAAAAGAAAGGUACCAACAAGUCCUGCAGCUUGCCUUGGAUCAGUGCAGUCAACAUGCGCCACCAACAUCAGAUGUCGUGCUAGUGACCGAGAUGAUCCGAUAGUCCUAACCAAUGACCUCAUACAACAUACGUUAUUGAAUAAAGCUUAAGGUUCUUGUAGCAAUUGCUUGUGUAUAUAAUGUACUCCCUCUCACCUAUUCAAAUGCUGAAACGAUAUACGACACUGUAGAAUAAAACAAUGUCUCCACAAUUGCACUAACCUUGGUAUCUCUACAAGUGGUUGGCAUUGGCAGUAUGUUGAUUUAGAUCCUUGCGUCAUUGAAGUAUGAAAUUGAAAAGAUUUAUUUAUGUACUACAGAGAGAGAGAGAGAGAACCAUGGCUCUUUUAGCUUCUUGUGGCUACAGGUCAAGAGGCAUAGGCAGCGCAUCGACUUCGAAUGCCCUGCCAAGAACGACUGCUCCAUGUGAUGGAUUGCAGCAGAGCAGCUGAUCCUGAAUACCCAGAAGUCGCAACAAAAAAUUGUUUGAAAACUACAUCAUAUUAUUAGUGUCGACACUCUAAUCAGACAACAUUCAGCGACAUGUGUGGCUUAACCUAGGAACUCGCACUCUCUGACUCGGCUGGGAAACGCCGGAAUCAGUCAGCAACUAAGCCCGUCUUGUACGCACCAAUCCAUCCAUCUAGAACCACCAACGGGGUCAGCAAGAGCGCCAGUCCCUACCCGGAGACGAACGGAGCGCCAGAUCCAUAGUUCAGCGCCCGCAACAAACGAAUCUAAUGGGGCCGGCCACCCGCGCGCAGACGCGGCCGUGGGGCGAAGGGAGCGAUCGGCGAUGGGGCUUCGCGGGAGAGGAGGAGGGGGAGGGCAUGACCGGUGGUUGAUUGGGUGGUCAGUUACCUUGUCGUCGAAGAGGAAGACCUCGGCAAGGCCGGCGGCGCCGACACUGCCCUAGAUGACGACCGUGGAGGAGAGUAGAUGUAGCUGCGCGGGGAGGAGAUGCGGAGAGGUGUGGAUUGGGGAGAAAGAGAGAGUGGGAUCGGGGGAGAGGUCAGAUUGGGGGGUGGGGAGAUGGGAUGCCCGCUGUUAGUGGCCGUCCUCUUUGUCGUUCGCCUGCGUAUAAGCUGAAAGCAAAGAGGUCGAGGCAGACGGUAAAGGGGGUUCAUGCAGACGGCAAAAAGGCCCUUUGAUGGUAAAGAGGAA